AGUCAAAAUUUGAAAAAAAUUAGGGAAUUUCAUAACGGCAAUCCCCCCAAAACCGAUUUUCGCACCAAUGUUGACAGUGAUCACGUUCUUGGGGAAUUAUGUAUUGCGUGCUUGUCAUUCGGGCAGCUGGCAUAGAGCCAAUUUUUGCGGCGCUAACCAGAUUGUCUUUCAGAAAGGCAAAGAAAGUUUCCAGUAUCUUUGUUUCCAGUAACCUCUUGAAUUCAGGGGCUCGCACAAAGAAUCGUAUGCACAUGUGGAACGGAAGAAAGAGAUGAAGUUAUGCCUCGUGGUUAAGAGAGCACGUUUUUCUGUUUUCAGUUAAAAAGUCUGCUGCAAAAUAUCUGAAAAAAGACAUUUUUUAAUCCAGGUUGGGCAGAUUCUAGUCUCAAUCCUCAGUGGAAUCCAUGGUUGCAACCUAUCGAAUUAGCUCCUAACAUGGCAAGAUGCACGUUUUGCCAACAAAAUAUCAUGCUUAGUACCAUGGGAAGGAAAGCAGUUACAAGCCACAUAAACAGUGUAAAACAUAAGAAAAUCAUUUUUGUGAAGAUGAACUCUGAAAACUUAAAAAACUAUUUCUCCAUAGAUAAAAGCAGUUCUGAAACACAGCAGUCUUCGGCACUAGUUGCUGAAUCAUCAAAUUUAAACGCGUUCACACCUGAGGACAAAGUUUUUGCUGCGGAAUUACUGUGGGCUAUGAAAUUUGUUUCUUCAGAUGUUUCUUAUAAUGCAUUUAAUGCUGCUGCUGUUCUGUUCCAGAAAGUGUUUGAUGACAGCAAUAAAGCUAAAGCUAUGACCCUGGGACAUACAAAAAUGUCAUAUUUAGUGUCAUUUGGUUUAGCUCCAUACUUCAAAAAGAUGCUCAUUUCUGAUCUUAGAACACUGAAUUUGUAAUUUGCUUCAAUGAAGCAUUAAAUAGAAUUGUCCAGAGAGGCAAAAUGGAUCUUUUUGUUAGAUUUUGGGACAGUGCGAGGAAUGAAGAUACCUCACAUCAAUUUUUUGGGGACAUGUAUCUGCCAAUGACCUUCUGAGAAGUUUCUUUGAGGGAACCUCAGAGCUAGAUAAAAAGAAAUUGCUGCAAGUAUCAUUGGAUGGACCAAAUGUCAAUCUUAAAUUCCUCAGAGAUUUGAAAGAAAAUUUAGCAAAUAAUGAUGCCUGCCAUGUAUUACAUAUUGGGUCCUGUGGUUUGCAUGUUGUUCAUGGUGCCUUUAGAGCUGGCCAUAAAGGUACUGACUGGAAUUUAAGUGCAUUAUUUAAAAAUAUGCAUAGAGUAUGUAAAGACAGUCUUGCUUGGCAAGCAGACUAUAUUGCCAUCACUAACUGUACAACUUUUCCGUUGAAGUUUUGUGAAGUAAAAUGGUGUGAAAACAUACCUGUUGCUGAGAGAGCUAUUGAUAUUUUUCAUCAUGUCAAAAAAUAUGUAGAAUCAUCCGAACUACCAAAAACUGUGUCAUUCAAAAGACUGAGAGAAGCUGUUAAAGAUAAGCUACUUUUGGCAAAAAUCUCAUUUUUUAUUUCGGUUGCAGGAGUUAAUUUACAUCCAUUUCUAAAGUCAUUUCAGACAGCUGAUCCUUUGUGCCCCUUUCUAUAUACAACUUUCCAUAGUAUGCUAAGUCAUCUUCUCUCCAAAUUUGUCAAAAGAGAUAUACUGCGAGAGGCAAAAGCUCCUGAAAAACUGAUAAAUAUAGAUAUUCUGGAUGAAAACAUUUAUUGUAAUGUUGCAGAUAUAGAUGUGGGUAUUGCUGCUGGUGCGAGUUUAGCUAAAAGUGGAGUAUCUGAUCUUAACAAAAGAGAAUUCAGAACUCGGUGCAGAACAUUUUUGGUUAAGCUGGUAUAAAAAAUAUUUGAAAGAAGCCCAUUGAAAUAUAGCUUAGUUAAAUACAUUUCUUCAUUAGAUCCUAAGCUCAUUACGUCUAAUGAAUUUUUAUGUGAGAAAAGGAUGGAGAGGUUAUUGCAUAUAAUAUAUGAAAGUGAAUGGAUAAAUUCCACAGUUUCAGAUAAAUCAAAAAUGCAGUUUAAAGAAUUAUUAUUCAGAAGUAAGGGUGUUUGGAAAGACGCUUUUACUAAUUAUGCUUCAAUGUGACUUGAUCACUUUUAUAAGGAUUUGAUUAAUAACUCAGAUUUUAAAGAACUUUGGAGUGUUGUAAAACUAGUUCUAAUUUUAUCACAUGGCAAUUCCACAGUAGAAAGUGGAUUUUCAGUUAAUAAUGAUAUGUUGGUGGAAAAUCUGCAGGAAAAUUCUUUAACAGCAGUGCAAACUGUUUAUGAUGCUAUAAAAGUAAAUGGAGGUGUGAUUAAUAUUAAUGUAACUCCUUAUAUGUUAUGAUAUGCCAGAUCUGCUCGUGGUGCAUAUCACCGAGCACUCGAAGACAAAAAACUGUGUGAUAAUAAACAUAAAAAAUACUAUUAGACAAAAGGAACAAGGCACAGAUUAAAAUUUUGGAGUCAAAAAAACAAAAAUUGAGCAGAGAUGUUUCUUCAAUUGACUUGCAAAUUGCAAAGUUAAAACAAGAAAUCUAAUUUGGUGCUUAUUUUUCAUUAGUAUUUUUUCUAUUAGUGUUUUGUUUAAAUAUAUUAAAUGUCAUAUUUUUAAUUCUAAUAAAUAUUUUUCAUUUAACA